rnacentral:misc_RNA from 1 species
UUUUUUAACCGACUUCCAAAAAAGGAGGAGGUUCUCAAUUCGACUGUAUUUUUUUUUAUUUUUAUGUAUGUUACAUCAGAACUUUUGACCGGGUAGACCGAUUUCGACAAAUUUUGUUUUAAUCGAAAGGUGGUGUGUGCCAAUUGAUCCCAUUUAAAUUUUUUUUUUUUUUUUUUUUUUUUUUUUAUUACGAUAUGGGCUUACUCUUGACCUCAGUCUAGCCCUAGAGCACAGACGAGGUCGAAGAUGGAGCGAGUUC